ACAGCUGACAAUUGACAUGCGUGCAGCCUACAAACACUACACCUCAUUACUCCAUUAAACAACAUCUUCGCUCACUGUCACAGGCUAACCAAACAACACUCGGUAACAUGUUUAGCGAUGACUCGUUACGAAAUGAGUAAUACUGAGAAUGAGUUAUGCAAGAGACAUGUUUGUUAAGGCGAGGUUCAACACUAUCAUCACCACUACCCACAGCCAGCCAUGAUCAGGCGACCGCGAGGAGUCACCAUCCCACAGUUGGCCAUCAUAUCCUGUGUUGGCAUCCUGGGUGGUAUUUACAUCUGGAAGCCUCUACUCAUUCGCUAUAAGACAGAGCAACAUGUAGCUGCCACUCCUGCACAGCCCAAGUGAAGAGAACACACCCAACUCAUCUGGCUAAACACUGCUGUCCUUGUGUCAUUGUCUCAGGGUGUCUGGAGUUACUGUGACAUUGUUUCUCUUACUGCUACAAGACUCUAGGGAACCAUGAAGUACCCCGUGUUCUCUGCCAGUAUUGCCGUCACUAUUAUAAUGUUUGUUGGGUACAGAUGGGGUUUGGCGCCAAUUCUGGUCCAAAACAGGCGUAGGAAACAAGAGGAGUUUGCAGAGAUGAUCUAUGAGUUUAAGCAUAAGAAGGUAGAAGAGUGAGGCUAUCAGAGUGUAGGAGAGGAAUGAUCUAUAGUGUGGCAAGGUUAGUAUUGAAGUCAAGCAGGAUUAUUUAUUUAGGCUGUUUUUUGUACUUGUAGAUAGUAAGAGGCACAGGUUGGGUGUAGAAAUUUGUGUGGUGUGUGGGUGUGUGAUGGUAUUGGUAGAAGUACAAGUUGGGGAUGUUGGUAUUGGUAAGCUGGUUGUGUCUGGUGGUAGGUCAUGGUGGUAAUGGUGGUACUCGUGCAGGUUGAGCCCAAGACACUCAUAAUCUCUGUGGACUCAUCAAAAGUGUACAGGAAGUUUUCAAGACACUUUAUCUCAAAUCUUUGGUAAUCCUUUUGGUUUUUCUCUUUGGCAACUGACAUGUGAACCAUUAAUAAAUAUUUCAUGACUAAUAUUUUGGAGAGUAGCAAUUUAUUCAUGUUUUUUUUUUUCUAAUUUUUUGUGAUCUUAGCCAGCCUCGUCUCACUUAUAUAGAAUUAAUUAUGCUCAUCUUUAUUUUCAAGUUUGAGGACACAAUUACCGAACCACACAGCCAUGCCAUCAAUAUAUUCACACUUGUAAUCCUGAGAACACUGACCAUAGCUAAAUUUGAUGAGGGGAGAGAGAGGCAAGAAAAAUUAAGAGACCAACAUGUAAUAGUCUCUGUAUUAUUCUUGCUGUUUGAGUGUUACGUAGUUAGAGUGGCUUGGUGGGCAGUGUUAUGUUGUUACCGUUUCUGGAGUCACAACCUGCAGUGUGCCACAGAAGGGGAGAAGGGUGGUCAUGUAAAUAAAAAUAUGUAAAGUUUUUAUUAA